rnacentral:tRNA from 2 species
UACAUUAUAGUGUAUGUGCACGUAAAUUUUUGGAGUUUAAAGAAAAAGUUCAAUUCUUUUUUUUGUAA